rnacentral:sRNA from 1 species
AAUUUAUAAUUUUAUUUUGCUUGGUGUUGUGCUUUAUAAUGUUUGCAGAUCAAGCCCAUGAAACUUGUGGAUUAUAACUAUAAAAAUACACUUCAGAGCACGCAGGGCACACAUGAUUAUUGGAUGCAUUUAAGCUCCGUCUGCGCGGUACAUCAUUGGUGCAAUUAAACUGUAGUAAACGUGGACGUGGACGUGGACGGACGACGCAGAGAACAAGACGUUCUGCCACUUGGCUGGCUCUCGUAUAAUUUUUAUUAAGUCGUUCUGAGGAAUGCACCGCCGAGGCGAGUCGAGUCGAGCCGGGUCGAGUGCUGCAUGAAGGCUGAGGGCUGGCCCAUAAACCCACAUUUCUGACGGGGGCUGCCCUCUCGCCUGCUCUGUGUGUUAACUACGCGGAGGGGAGCGGACCAGGAACUGGAACUGGAGUCAUAAAACACGGCUAUAUGCGACAGCGUCGAAGGAUUAAAAAAUGACUGCGUGACAAAGCAUUUUAUAAUCGUCAUCUGAUUCACUUAAAAACACAUUCAUCGCCGCCACCACUGACUCGAUGUCGGAGUUCAGACCCGCCGUGAAGCUGUGAAGCGAUCCGAAUUUGGGCUCGGGCGAACCGCAAG